rnacentral:rRNA from 1 species
AUUGAACGCUGGCGGCAUGCUUUACACAUGCAAGUCGAACGGCAGCGCGGGCUUCGGCCUGGCGGCGAGUGGCGAACGGGUGAGUAAUGCAUCGGACGUGCCCAGUAGUGGGGGAUAGCCCGGCGAAAGCCGGAUUAAUACCGCAUACGACCUGAGGGUGAAAGCGGGGGACCGAAAGGCCUCGCGCUAUUGGAGCGGCCGAUGUCGGAUUAGCUAGUUGGUGGGGUAAAGGCUUACCAAGGCGACGAUCCGUAGCUGGUCUGAGAGGACGACCAGCCACACUGGGACUGAGACACGGCCCAGACUCCUACGGGAGGCAGCAGUGGGGAAUUUUGGACAAUGGGGGCAACCCUGAUCCAGCCAUGCCGCGUGCGGGAAGAAGGCCUUCGGGUUGUAAACCGCUUUUGUUCGGGAAGAAAUCCUCUGGGCUAAUACCCCGGGGGGAUGACGGUACCGGAAGAAUAAGCACCGGCUAACUACGUG